rnacentral:rRNA from 1 species
GACGAACGCUGGCGGCGUGCCUAAUACAUGCAAGUCGAACGCUUCUUUCUUAUCGAACUUCGGUUCACCAAGAAAGAGGAGUGGCGGACGGGUGAGUAACACGUGGGUAACCUGCCCUUUAGCGGGGGAUAACACUUGGAAACAGGUGCUAAUACCGCAUAAUCUUUUUUCUCGCAUGAGAGAAAAGUGAAAGACGCUUUUGCGUCACUAGAGGAUGGACCCGCGCUGCAUUAGCUAGUUGGUGAGGUAAUGGCUCACCAAGGCCACGAUGCACAGCCGACCUGAGGGGGUGAUCGGCCGCGCUGGGACUGAGACACGGCCCAG